UACGUAGGGGGCAAGCGUUGUCCGGAUUUAUUGGGCGUAAAGAGCUCGUAGGCGGUCUGUCGCGUCUGCUGUGAAAACUCAGGGCUUAACCCUGAGCUUGCAGUGGGUACGGGCAGACUAGAGUCCGGUAGGGGAGCGUGGAAUUCCUGGUGUAGCGGUGAAAUGCGCAGAUAUCAGGAGGAACACCAGCGGCGAAGGCGGCGCUCUGGGCCGGUACUGACGCUGAGGAGCGAAAGCGUGGGGAGCAAACAGG
rnacentral:rRNA from 1 species